GCGACCCUACGGGCGCAGCAGUAGGGAAUCUUCCACAAUGGACGAAAGUCUGAUGGAGCAACGCCGCGUGAGUGAAGAAGGGUUUCGGCUCGUAAAGCUCUGUUGGUAGUGAAGAAAGAUAGAGGUAGUAACUGGCCUUUAUUUGACGGUAAUUACUUAGAAAGUCACGGCUAACUACGUGCCAGCAGCCGCGGUAAUACGUAGGUGGCAAGCGUUGUCCGGAUUUAUUGGGCGUAAAGGGAG
rnacentral:rRNA from 1 species